GCCUGAGUGGCUCAGUCAGUUAAGCAUCUGACUUCGGAUUAGGUCAUGAUCUUGUGGUUUGUGGGUCCAAGCCCCGCAUCAGGCU
rnacentral:tRNA from 1 species